GUGAAUGCUCGUAACGCUACUGUUUGUGCUCUGGGUGCGAGAUUUACCCAGAAUUCGUGUUUUCAUCGGUAACGUUAGUUAAUAGUUUUAUAAAUUUAAUUAUAAAUUAGGAUAAACUUAAAGACACUGUUGAAAUAUUCUCUUCAGUUCAGUUAAUACUUUUAUUUCACGCUUAUGCUAAAUUAUUCGAAUCAGAUUAAGUGAAAGUUUACCCAGAAAGGAACAUGAAUAGAGAAAUUAAAAAAAAAGGAUUUUCUUAAAUUUUUAGCAAGAAGAAUUACUGUGUGACCUUGCAUAAGACUAACAAUGAGUGACAACCAAUCAUCUUCAAGUGGUAGCUCAGAGGGUCAAAAUGUCCCUCCACAGAGGGGGCUACAUGCCGUGAUUGAACACAUGGCCUCUAAUAAAGUCAGUGCUUCGUUGUGGAUGACUAGAAUGGCCACUUUGCUCUUAACCUUCUGUUAUUUGAUACCAAUAUUUGGGU